AGGAGAGCACAGCCCCAGCAGAGCACCAGGCGACAGCCUAGGGGGCUGUCAUAUCCUUUUGUCUAAUACACCGUCGCAGUUGAAGCAUCGACAUCGCACACACUGAGACUGGACCUGACCUCGGUGAAGAUGGAGGUUGGAAGCCCUUUAGUGAAAAUAUAUCUGUCAUUAACAGCAAAGGUCGCCAGUCCAAAGGACGACAGUUUAUCUGUCAUUAACAGCAGCUGAGCAGCCUAUCUUCUAUCUCUGGUCCUCCAUUCUCUUCUCCUGUUCUUCACUCUUCUCCCGUCGCCUAUCUGUCAACAACAACAGCACUCCGGAGAUGAGCAGCUCUUCUGAAGGGAGCAAAUUCAAACGACCGAGGAAAGGGAAUUAGUGGACACUACCGUAUCCGACGAGGGAGCCUACGAAGGCGCCGGCGGCUAGGUCUCCGGCGGAGCUGAGAAGGCAGACGACCGGCGCGCCGAGGGGCGCCGGCGUUGGCAGCGCCGCGCCCUGCUCGUCCCCGUCCCACUCUCGCCCACGCCGAGCCGCCAUUUUCUCGGUUUGCUGUGCCUUUUCCAGUUUUCCCUCUUCCACACUUGUUUUCCCUCUCUUCGUUAUCUUCCUAUGGUUUUAGUGCUGUCGUUAUUUAAAAAAAAACAAUUCUCGGACACCGAGACCGUGGGACCCCUACGUCAGCACCGGUCAGCGAAUAAUUUCUAAAAAAAAAAA